GGCUGGCCUUAAACUGACAGAGAUCUGACUAGCUCUGCCUCUCAAGUGCCGAUUUAAGGUUCUUCCAAAGCUAGCAAUUUCUAUUGAUGUCACAUCAAAUAUCAGUCAUGAGUGACCACAUCUCACACUCUCAGAAUCCAGUGGCUUCUGUGUAAGAUGGUGCAGGAGGAGAUUUGCCUGGAGGAGGAAAGAAUCUCGGGGUGAUCAAGACUAGAUCAGGUGCAGGACAGGAGAAGGUUGGCAGGUCAAAAGGCAAUCUCCUUUAUCGUAAGAGAUGGCUUGGUUGCAGUUGAAAUGGAUGGAGCACAUAAACACUGCAGACUGGUCUCAUUGGAUCUCAGCUGGGCACAGCAGGGGAGCCCUGCAAGACUCUCAGCUGGGAGGGAAACUUGGAGCCAGAACUGCUGAAGGAAAGCUGAGAUGGAGCUGAUCCCCAGCCUUUCCAUAGAAACCUGGGUGCUGCUGGCUACCAGCCUGGUGCUCAUCUACAUGUAUGGGACUUAUUCUAAUGGGUUUUUUAAGAAGCUUGGCAUUCCUGGACCCAAACCUCUGCCUUUUUUGGGAACCAUUUUGGGCUACCGAAAUGUGAGUACUGUUUGAGCU